rnacentral:lncRNA from 1 species
GGGAAUUCUCCCAGAAUGUAAAAAUAUCUCACUGUGGGUGAAAGUUCCCAAAGACCUGGAAGAUCCAGAGGUGUUUCAGGCCUAGACGCAGCUGCUGGAAGUCACAUAUGGCCCAGUAGGGUCACAGAUCCCUUACACUGAGCAGGUGAGUAAGGCCAUGCUUGAGUUGAAGGCUCUGAAAUCUUCAGACCUCACUGAGGUCGUGGUUUAUGGCUCCUAUUUGUACAAGCUCUGGACCAAGUGGAUGCUGCAGUCCGUGGCUGAGUGGUUCCAGCUUGGUUUAAACUCUGCUCCAGUCU